rnacentral:ncRNA from 1 species
UACCUGGUUGAUCCUGCCAGUAGUCAUAUGCUUGUCUCAAAGAUUAAGCCAUGCAAGUCUAAGUACGAGCUCUCGUACAGUGAAACUGCGAAUGGCUCAUUAAAUCAGUUAUGGUUCAUUUGAUCGUACAGUUUACUUGGAUAACUGUGGUAAUUCUAGAGCUAAUACAUGCGAGAAGCGCCGACCUCGCGGGAGGCGUGCAUUUAUCAGACCAAAAACCGGCCGCGUCUUCGGGCGCGUUCGCCUUGGUGACUCUGGAUAACUUUGCGGAUCGCACGGUCUAGCACCGGCGACGGAUCAUUCAAGUGUCUGCCCUAUCAACUUUCGUCGGUACGGUAUUUGCCUACCGAGGUUCUUACGGGUGACGGGGAAUCAGGGUUCGAUUCCGGAGAGGGGUUGGUAGUUGUCUGGGUCGGUAGUUGUCCGGGUUGGUAGUUGUCUGGGUCGGUGGUUGUCCGGGUUGGUAGUUGUCUGGGUUGGUGGUUGUCCGGGUUGGUGGUUGUCUGGGUUGGUCGUUGUCCGGGUUGGUCGUUGUCUGGGUUGGUGGUUGUCCGGGUUGG